CUCGAGCAUGGACAGCAGUAUAGUCCAAGCAGAGGUCAAGCAGUUUGACUCAGAGUCCAGUGGUAUGCGGCUUAAGAAUUCAGUUGUGAGGGGCACUGGAGCCCACUUCCUGAAAACACUGGGAUGAUCUUCCUCCUCGAAGAUCUUCAGUGCAGAACUUACCGGAGCGUGUUUCCUUCGUUUGUUGCUGAUGAGGAUUUUACUCCUAUUACAUUCCGAGAUUUGGCACUAUAUUUUCGGAAACUGAACUCCUGGCAUAGAAAGAAUUCUACCAAUCAAAGCUCCUACAAUAGAAGAGAAAAACAUGAGUCUGAGAAACUGAGAUAAGUCCAACGUUCUAGGGGUGUACAGAGUUAAGUUGCCUCAUGCUAGGAAAGACCAUAUGCCUUUGGCCCUGAGCAUCUCUGCCCAUUCUUACUGAGUAUUCUAGGUUACAAGGCUUAUGUUUGUCUCAUAGGCAACUGAAUAGGUCAAGGUGAUCAAGUGUGACUAUGGGUAACUAUUCAAUCUCUGGGCAAGAAAGACUUGUUUGACCAAAAAGUACUGGAUUCUUUGUCCUGGCUUUCUCUCUUUUAACGCAAUUCACUGCAUAUGUAGGUAUCAUCUGGCCCAUUUUUUUCCUCUGUGGGAAUUGAGCCGAGAGAAACUGGCCCAAAUUUCUGGCCCUCUGGCUAUUGCUUCUAUUGUGAGUAAUAAAGCCGUUCAUCUCUGAUACA
rnacentral:lncRNA from 1 species